AGGACCCGCCGCAGCAGAGGCUGGGGGGCGCUGGGUCCCCCGCGGCGGCGCUAGGACCGGCUCGGACCGGACCGGACCGGACGGGGCGGGAGGCGCCGCUCGGAACCCGCCCGGGUCCCCCGGCGGCCCCGGCAGCGGCGCCGAGCGCGGCCGCGGGGGUCACUGGGGGCCCGAGGCCGGGCGCGCACGGGCUGCGCAAGCCUUCCCGCCCCCGGCGCUACCGCCGCCUCCUGGGGCGACUCAGGGCCGCUGCCGGCGGCUGCCGGUUCGGCUGGCGGUGCGGAGUGGCCGGCGCUUUCUGCUCCUCAGGAAAACACAGGUGGAGAAGGAAAUGUCUGCCCUAAGUCAUACCCCCGAAAAGGAGUAAUGACAGUGGUGCGCCGUCAUUGGGAGCCAGCCCGCCUGGUGCCUCUGGCUACCUCAGCCAGCGAUCCAGCCUGGAAACUGACGUGACCUUGCUCUCUGUCCACAGAAGAUCGUCAUUCAAAUUCUGCAAACGGUAUUGGUGGAAUGAGGCUGACCAGGUGGGCCACUGUCACACCUACCGGCUCCGAAGUUAUCCGCAGAGUCAGGAGAAACAGAGUGAAGACUAAGGCUUCUGAUGCAAGGGAAACAUAAUCUUUUAUUAUGGAUGUUCAUUUAUAUCAUUAAAAGGCAAAAUAAACUUGUAAAAGGAAAGUA